rnacentral:rRNA from 1 species
GACGAACCGUACGAACGUUAUUCGGAAUCACUGGGCUUAAAGGGUGCGUAGGCGGCGCGGUAAGUCGGGUGUGAAAUCUCGGAGCUUAACUCCGAAACUGCAUUCGAUACUGCCGUGCUUGAGGACUGGAGAGGAGACUGGAAUUUACGGUGUAGCGGUGAAAUGCGUAGAUAUCGUAAGGAAGACCAGUGGCGAAGGCGGGUCUCUGGACAGUUCCUGACGCUGAGGCACGAAGGCCAGGGGAGCAAACGGG